rnacentral:rRNA from 1 species
GUAUGCUAAUACGGGAUAAUAUAUUUGAGAGGCAUCUCUUGAAUAUCAAAGGUGAGCCAGUACAGGAUGGACCCGCGUCUGAUUAGCUAGUUGGUAAGGUAACGGCUUACCAAGGCGACGAUCAGUAGCCGACCUGAGAGGGUGAUCGGCCACAUUGGAACUGAGACACGGUCCAAACUCCUACGGGAGGCAGCAGUGGGGAAUAUUGCACAAUGGGCGAAAGCCUGAUGCAGCAACGCCGCGUGAGUGAUGAAGGCCUUCGGGUCGUAAAACUCUGUCCUCAAGGAAGAUAAUGACGGUACUUGAGGAGGAAGCCCCGGCUAACUACGUGCCAGCAGCCGCGGUAAUACGUAGGGGGCUAGCGUUAUCCGGAUUUACUGGGCGUAAAGGGUGCGUAGGCGGUCUUUCAAGUCAGGAGUGAAAGGCUACGGCUCAACCGUAGUAAGCUCUUGAAACUGGGAGACUUGAGUGCAGGAGAGGAGAGUGGAAUUCCUAGUGUAGCGGUGAAAUGCGUAGAUAUUAGGAGGAACACCAGUUGCGAAGGCGGCUCUCUGGACUGUAACUGACGCUGAGGCACGAAAGCGUGGGGAGCAAACAGGAUUAGAUACCCUGGUAGUCCACGCUGUAAACGAUGAGUAC